CCUACGGGUGGCAGCAGUGGGGAAUAUUGGGCAAUGGGCGCAAGCCUGACCCAGCAACGCCGCGUGAAGGAAGAAGGCUUUCGGGUUGUAAACCUCUUUUAAGGGGGAAGAGCAGAAGACGGUACCCCUUGAAUCAGCCACGGCUAACUACGUGCCAGCAGCCGCGGUAAUACGUAGGUGGCAAGCGUUGUCCGGAUUUACUGGGUGUAAAGGGCGUGCAGGCGGAGAGACAAGUCAGAUGUGAAAUCCACGGGCUCAACCCGUGAACUGCAUUUGAAACUGGUUCCCUUGAGUGUCGGAGAGGUAAGCGGAAUUCCUGGUGUAGCGGUGAAAUGCGUAGAUAUAAGGAAGAACACCAGUGGCGAAGGCGGAUUACUGGACGAUAACUGACGGUGAGGCGCGAAAGCGUGGGGAGCAAACAGGAUUAGAUACCCGGGUAGUC
rnacentral:rRNA from 1 species